GCAAGUACAUUAAUGAUUUACUCAUUUACAAAUUCUUAAUUUGAAAGAUGAUGGAGUAUCACUGGCAUCCAUAAUACAAAGUGGCAAAUGUAAGAUUUCUGCUGUUUUCAUUCGUAAUCACCUGUCCAAGGUGCUUGGAGUUGGUCUAGUCAGUCAGCUCAACCUUCCAGAUUGAUGUCACCUAACCAGUUAAUCAGUUUUAACUUCUUUGUAAGCAUUAGGUUGAACAGCGCACCUCCCUUGAUUGGAUCCUCAAUCACCUGUGCUAGGAAGUUGUUGUGAGUGUACUCCAGAAACGCCCUGGAUUAUUCAUGUUCUGUAUGUCCUUCUAUGACAUACCAGGGUGCUUAAAGUCCCCCCCUGAGGACUUGGUCCUAUGAGCAUGAGGUUUCUUCCAGCUGUUUGACGAAGACCUCAUCUACUUCUUCAUGAUCAGGCAGUCUGUACAGAUACCUCACCUCACAUCACCCAUGUUAGUCUGCCGGCUAAUCCUGAGCCAUAACCUCUCAAUCAGCUCAUUGUUCACCCCAAGGCAGAGCUCCAUGGAUUCCAGCUGCUGUCACAGUAAGAGCAACUCCUGCUCAUCAUCUUCCCAGUCUGUCCUUCCUAAAGAGCCUGUGUCCACCCAUUUCAGCACUUCUGUCAUGUGAGCUUUCCCACCUCAUCUCUAUGACUUCACUGAGACUGUAGCCCUCUAAUGGCAUGUAAACUUCUAACAUCUCCUGUUUGCUCCCCAUACUGACUGCAUUAGUGUAUAGACACUCCUGAAAGGUGAGGGACAACCUCCACCCCUCCACCAAUGUCCUCUCAGCAAUUCCUUAUUUGUGGGUGUGCACCAUUCUUCCCUGUUCUGUAGAUUUUGAGGACUGUUAACCACAUCACUCUGCACCUUUGCUUGCCAGUCCAAUCCACCACUUCCUCACUUGAAUGUGGGUCAUCAUCUCCCUCCUAUCUUAUUCUAGUCUCCUCAGGUUUGCCAGUCUGUUAGCAAAGAGUGGUUUUUACCCCAGUUUGUCAGGAAGAUUCUACUUGUCCCUACCAAUCCUUGACCCCCAAAGAGGGUCCUGUGGUUUUAAAAUC
rnacentral:lncRNA from 1 species